rnacentral:rRNA from 1 species
GACGAACGCUGGCGGCGUGCUUAACACAUGCAAGUCGAACGGAAAGGCCCUGCUUUUGUGGGGUGCUCGAGUGGCGAACGGGUGAGUAACACGUGAGUAACCUGCCCUUGACUUUGGGAUAACUUCAGGAAACUGGGGCUAAUACCGGAUAGGAGCUCCUGCUGCAUGGUGGGGGUUGGAAAGUUUCGGCGGUUGGGGAUGGACUCGCGGCUUAUCAGCUUGUUGGUGGGGUAGUGGCUUACCAAGGCUUUGACGGGUAGCCGGCCUGAGGGGGUGACCGGCCACAUUGGGACUGAGAGACGGCCCAGACUCCUACGGGAGGCAGCAGUGGGGAAUAUUGCACAAUGGGCGGAAGCCUGAUGCAGCAACGCCGCGUGCGGGAUGACGGCCUUCGGGUUGUAAACCGCUUUCGCCUGUGACGAAGCGUGAGUGACGGUAAUGGGUAAAGAAGCACCGGCUAACUACGUG